GCCAACUAUGUACUUUUACCCCAAGAGGAGGGAAAUGUAGUACUGCAUAACCAAGAGGGAACGGAUAAAACAAAGUCUCGAACGAAAGAAAACUGAGUACGGGGGCCGGUUACAUGAAGGGAAGGUUAUCGCACCCCUUCACAUCUGUGGUAUUCCACAAGAUCCACGUUUGCUAUUUAUGUCUAAAGGGUGUGGGUUUAUCUAAUGUACUAUUUACCAAAAGAGGGGUUAAAA
rnacentral:lncRNA from 1 species